rnacentral:lncRNA from 1 species
AGUCCUUGAUCGGCUUCGGUCUUCUCCAGAACACUCGAGCACAUACCUUCCAUUAGAACGAUCCAGGUCAACAUUAUAGAUUCCCACCCUCCUUCCUAUGCCUAUACUGCCACUGGGCACGAAACGAAACGAAUAGUGCACAAAGUUGAGGCAGCCCGGUGUGGCCCGAAACAGAUAAGAACAGAUCCAAGUUGUUCUUUGUUUCAGGUCCAGCUAGCCC